GAUGAACGCUGGCGGCGUGCCUAAUACAUGCAAGUCGAGCGAACAGACGAGGGGCUUGCUCCUCUGACGUUAGCGGCGGACGGGUGAGUAACACGUGGAUAACCUACCUAUAAGACUGGGAUAACUUCGGGAAACCGGAGCUAAUACCGGAUAACAUGUUGAACCGCAUGGUUCAACAGUGAAAGACGGUCUUGCUGUCACUUAUAGAUGGAUCCGCGCCGCAUUAGCUAGUUGGUAAGGUAACGGCUUACCAAGGCAGCGAUGCGUAGCCGACCUGAGAGGGUGAUCGGCCACACUGGAACUGAGACACGGUCCAGACUCCUACGGGAGGCAGCAGUAGGGAAUCUUCCGCAAUGGGCGAAAGCCUGACGGAGCAACGCCGCGUGAGUGAAGAAGGUCUUCGGAUCGUAAAACCCUGUUAUUAGGGAAGAACAAAUGUGUAAGUAACUAUGCACGUCUUGACGGUACCUAAUCAGAAAGCCACGGCUAACUACGUG
rnacentral:rRNA from 1 species